GUUAAACCGAAGAUGUUCUUGUGCUUUAAAAUUCUCUUUUUCUUCAAGAUGAGAUCAGUAUGAUGGAUCCUGAUGCCAGUGAUCCUGAUGAAAGCAUUUCUGAGGAUGAUGUUCCUGCUGGAGCUGCAGGCGUCGCCAGUAAUGCUGAUGUUCAGAAGAUGCCCAUUGGGAAAACUGCUGAGUUUCUCAAGAGAAUGAGAGUGAGGCAGAAAUUGAAAACAGAAAGGAAAAGGACAAGACGGAAAGGACAAAAAGUUUGCUGGUCAAAUGCUGAAGUUACAGCUGUAAUUGAUCAUUUUAAGGCACAUAUAACCAAAGGAAAACUGUGGACAAGACACAAGAGAUUUUGUAAGAAAUCAAGGAAUUAGCUUGAAAAGGAAAGCACAAAAUAAGUGAUGUUACAUUGUGUCUCAUUUGAUGCUGUUCUAUAAGGAUUAUUAUUUUAGUUGUUGGUUUUGUUAGUUUCAUUCUAUAGCAUGAAUAUACUAAGACUUCACUCUGUAAAUCUCUAUAAAGUUUAACUGUUCUUUAAAGCAGUAGUUUGUCACAAAAACAUGACAACUUAACAUUCAACAUUAUUAUUGAUCUGACUGCAUUGACACUAUUGUAUGAGAACUGAACUGAGCUGGACGAUGACAUGACCGUUGUCUUCAGAGCUGCUGCUGCUGUAUAGAUAAAGUGAACUAAAUUAAUAACCGAUAAGCUUUACAACAUAAUUGAAUCAACACUGAACUGACACAAGCUGGACUAUGACACUAUACUCUUCUAGAGCUGCUGUACAGCCCAAACAAUCUUUGUUGAACAACGUUCCUGUUAUGAGGGCUGCUUUGAAACAAUAUGUAAUUUAAAAAUGGCUUUAUAAAUAAAGGUGACUUGACUUGAUUCAACAAUUCUGUUUACAUUUUUUCAAAGUUUUGAAUGGUUGCCAUUUCAAUAUGUCAAAACAGUAAUGAUGCUGUAUGCUUUCUGAAAGAUUACACUGUUGUGCAUGUGUUAUCGACCUAGUUUUUUAGUUGUGGAUGUCAUUUUCCCCUUAAAAUGGCAUGCCAUGAUGGUAUUACAUGGUUAAAACUGGAAAAACCCAAUGUUUAUGUUGUUAUUUUAAGUCAUAAUUAAAGU